UACGAGGGGGUGCAAGCGUUGCUCGGAAUUAUUGGGCGUAAAGGGCAGGUAGGUGGUCUCAUUUGUCAGGGGUGAAAGCCUUUGGGCUUAAACCCAAGAAGUGCCUUUGAAACGGUGAGACUGGAGUCUUGGAGAGGGUCGUGGAAUUCCCAGUGUAGCGGUGAAAUGCGUAGAGAUUGGGAGGAACACCAGAGGCGAAGGCGGCGACCUGGAACAAGUACUGACACUCAACUGCGAAAGCGUGGGUAGCAAACAGG
rnacentral:rRNA from 1 species